CCUACGGGAGGCAGCAGUGGGGAAUAUUGCACAAUGGGGGAAACCCUGAUGCAGCGACGCCGCGUGAGCGAUGAAGUAUUUCGGUAUGUAAAGCUCUAUCAGCAGGGAAGAAAAUGACGGUACCUGACUAAGAAGCCCCGGCUAACUACGUGCCAGCAGCCGCGGUAAUACGUAGGGGGCAAGCGUUAUCCGGAUUUACUGGGUGUAAAGGGAGCGUAGACGGCUGUGCAAGCCAGAUGUGAAAGCCCGUGGCCCAACCACGGGACUGCUUUGGAAACUGUGUUGCUGGAGUGCAGGAGGGGUAAGCGGAAUUCCUAGUGUAGCGGUGAAAUGCGUAGAUAUUAGGAGGAACACCGGUGGCGAAGGCGGCUUACUGGACUGUAACUGACGUUGAGGCUCGAAGGCGUGGGGAGCAAACAGGAUUAGAUACCCUAGUAGUC
rnacentral:rRNA from 1 species